GCAUCUUUUUUGUUUUAAAGAUUUAUUGAUUGGAGAUGGGUAUGCGUAGGAUUAGCUAGUUGGUAAGGUAACGGCUUACCAAGGCGACGAUCCUUAGGGGUUCUGAGAGGAAGGUCCCCCACACUGGUACUGAGACACGGACCAGACUCCUACGGGAGGCAGCAGUGAGGAAUAUUGGUCAAUGGUCGAGAGACUGAACCAGCCAAGUCGCGUGAAGGAAGACGGCUCUAUGAGUUGUAAACUUCUUUUGUACAGGAGUAAAGUGAGACACGUGUGUUUUAUUGCAAGUACUGUACGAAUAAGCAUCGGCUAACUCCGUGCCAGCAGCCGCGGUAAUACGGAGGAUGCAAGCGUUAUCCGGAUUUAUUGGGUUUAAAGGGUGCGUAGGCGGUAUUACAAGUCAGGGGUGAAAUCUUGGUGCUUAACAUUAAAAUUGCCUUUGAAACUGUGGUACUUGAGUGUAAAAGAGGUAGGCGGAAUGUGUUGUGUAGCGGUGAAAUGCAUAGAUAUAACACAGAACCCCGAUUGCGAAGGCAGCUUACUAUCAUACAACUGACGCUGAUGCACGAAAGCGUGGGGAUCAAACAGGAUUAGAUACCCUGGUAGUCCACGCAGUAAACGAUGAUUACUAGCUGUUAGCGAUAUACUGUUAGUGGCUAAGCGAAAGCGAUAAGUAAUCC
rnacentral:rRNA from 1 species